AUGAUUGAACUAGAGUUCAUAAGCAUUAAACUUGUUUUCCAUUUCUUUCAGCUACUUAAGUUAAUACAGUCAAUUGUGUUGAAGAUCCCAAUUUAUUGUAGCAGUAAGUUUAACACAUCCUUAAGAAAACAGUAUUAUGAAGGAUUUGGGUCAUGCAAACAUAGAGAGGUCAAUAUUUUGAAUGUUCCAAGACUUCUCUUCUGUGUUCCCCCACUCAACUCUACAUGUUUGCCCAAUCUCCAGUUGAUUAUGAACCUACUUCACUUCUACAUCCAAUCCUUCAUUUGUUGCCUCCUGAACUCUACCCAUCAACCUAUAUUGUGA
rnacentral:lncRNA from 1 species